rnacentral:snRNA from 1 species
UGUUACACACACUGAGGC